CUCUGCACAAUAACCAACGACCUACAUAAAAGAAACGUUGGCUUGUCGCCAAACUUACAUAUAAUACGGCGUCGUUAACGGAUACUAGCGGACAAUUAAGCGAACCAAAUCGAUCACAAGAGGAAGGAAGAAGAACGGAGAUGCGGCAUUUAAGUUCUUCAUUUUUUGGGUUCAAAAAUAAUCUAUAGACAAGGAAUUUUUUCAAGUAAUCUUAUAAGCUACAUAUCUACCGUCCCGAUAUGACGUUAUCAGGAACACUUGAUCACCAAAGAAGGUUAACAGGAAUUCCCAAUUUAGCUGUGCACAAAUGAUAAAUACAUGUACGCCAAAGAAAAACUUGAACAAAGUCUAAGGUCGGCAUUUUUAUUCAGAUAACAUUUGAAUAAUCAAUCUACAACUUGCUGAUGCUUAUAUAAAAUCAGAUGAAUAUCUUGUUUGAUUGAAUACUAGAUAAACAAGUGGAUAAAUUUGCCGAUUAACUAUAAAUAAACACGCAUCAAAAAGAGAAAUGUGUUGCAGUUGAAGUAAUAAGAAGAGUGACAAUAACUAUAAGACACGAUGUAGCCACGAAAAUCAUCGUAAAGUCUGAUGUUUUUGUACUUAGGUUAUUUGUAUUAAUGCAAAAUAAAACUUAAAAGUUUAAUGA